AGGAAAAUUGACAAAGGUUGAAAUUGUGGCAAAGCAACGCGGGCGAUAUUUUCAAUCUCCAAAAUUUUCACUCGCGCCCAUAUUUCAUCUCUUCCCUCUUUUGUUUUUUAUUUUCCAAAUCAAUCGUAAACUCAAAUCAGUUGCACAAAUCAUGAACAAAUCAUGAUUUCGAGUUUGCAGUUAUACCCUAAAAAUAAAAACACUAAAAUCAUGAAGAAAUCCAUUAACCCUAAUCCCAAAUCGUUUAUUUCGUCCUUGUUUCCGACCCUAAUCAUUCUUCUCUUUAUGGAUUGUUUCCAAUUCCGCUUGCUAGGUUUUCUUUCUAUGCAUACUAGUCCGUCUCAAAAGGUUCUAUAAUCUUUUUUCAUCAGAUUUAGAGCGACACCAAGGAGUCUUCUUCAUCCACCCAUGACUUUGGUUUUAAGCACAUACUCUGGGUCUAUAGUGGACGUAGAGGUGUUCAUUGUUGGGUGUGUGAUGGGAAGGCAAGAAGGCUAGACACUAGACCAUCAAAAGUUCUAAUAUUUGCUUCACCUGCAUGUAGUACACGUUGACAUUGAUUCGAUUAUACUAUCUUUACUAUUGCAGGUUGACUAACGAGCAAAGAGCUUCUAUUGCUGACUAUUUUCGUGUUUACAAGGUAUUAUCCUUAGUAACAAGUGGUGGGUUUGUCAAUGGUUGAUGCAGUUAAUGCAGUCACAACAAUAUCAAGUUAGAGGGCAAUGAAAAAAGUCAUAACAAGGUUUCCUUGAUGGGUGCUGCGCUUCAUCCUUUCUUGGCGACUUCAUACACCAAUGUUCUCAAGGACUAUUUUGAGAAAAUAUUGCUUACUAAUCAAAACUUACUUGCUACUGAGGAGAGAUAUGAAAAGAUCCUAAGCAUGAUUCCUGAUGAAUCUAUUGCUUCUGAACUUAGGGGAAGAUGGCAAGAUAAUAUAUAAUAGGAGGUCCUCUAGUGCAAAAGAAGAUAUUAAUGUUGUGUGAUGGCAAGAAAAUAUUGCUUACUAAGCAACUGCUGCAAUCUGGAAAACAUAAGCUUCUCAUUAGAACACAUACUAGCAUUGUUCUAGUACUCAAGAAGAGUUGAAACACUUGAUUUGCUCAUUACUUGUUUGAUGGGAUGCUCUUUAGUUACCAAUUGAUUAUCACAAAAAUGUUAAACCGAAAGUGAUGUAAAAGAUACAUAAAUGAAUUAGAGCUUAUAAAGACACUUCACAGGGAUCAAUCUAGAGAUGACAUAGACUAUGUAAGUCAGGAGCUAGAAACUUUAUAUGUUGGAUUAAGCUUCUACUAGCUAGGUUCAAGGCCAAACAAAUUAUCCAAGUCCACACAUUGAUGAAGAUAGAAGAGAUGAAGACUAGAAGCUAAUUAUAUUCCGACGAAUUAGCUUUAGUUACUUUUCGUUAUGUAUUUUUGAUACUAUGUAGUGCCGCAGUAGUGCACUUGAUACUUUGUAAGAACGACAAAUUUUUAUGUUAAUGUUACAAAUUUUAU